AUUGAACGCUGGCGGCAGGCCUAACACAUGCAAGUCGAACGAGUGGCGGACGGGUGAGUAAUGUAUGGGAACCUGCCUGAUAGAGGGGGAUAACUACUGGAAAGGGUAGCUAAUACCGCAUACCAUCAGAUGUGCCCAGAUGGGAUUAGCUAGUUGGUGGGGUAACGGCUCACCAAGGCGACGAUCCGUAGCUGGUCUGAGAGGAUGACCAGCCACACUGGAACUGAGACACGGCCCGGACUCCUACGGGAGGCAGCAGUGGGGAAUAUUGAACAAUGGGGGCAAGCCUGAUCCAGCCAUGCCGCGUGUAUGAAGAAGGCCUUCGGGUUGUAAAGUACUUUCAGCGGGGAGGCGUUACCUGCAGAAGAAGCACCGGCUAACUCCGUGCCAGCAGCCGCGGUAAUUC
rnacentral:rRNA from 1 species